GCCUGUGUAGCUCAGAUGGUAGAGCACUUCCUUGGUAAGGAAGAGGUCGUCGGUUCAAGUCCGAUCGCAGGCUCCA
rnacentral:tRNA from 1 species